UACGUAGGGGGCAAGCGUUGUCCGGAAUUAUUGGGCGUAAAGAGCGUGUAGGCGGCCAGAUAAGUCCGCUGUGAAAUCUCGAGGCUCAACUUCGAGCUGUCGGUGGAAACUAUCUGGCUAGAGUCCGGAAGAGGAGAGUGGAAUUCCCGGUGUAGCGGUGAAAUGCGCAGAUAUCGGGAAGAACACCUAUGGCGAAGGCAGCUCUCUGGGACGGUACUGACGCUGAGACGCGAAAGCGUGGGGAGCGAACAGG
rnacentral:rRNA from 1 species